rnacentral:miRNA from 1 species
UGUUUUUGUUGUUUUGUUUU